GGGUCAGUAGUUUGGUCGUGCCACUGGUAUGUACUGGGCUCACUGAUUCCUCCUUCCUGAUGAACUGUAAUGCCAUUAAUUUGGUGUUGCGGGGAAACUGGACUGUUACUUUGAAAAAAUUAGAGUGUUUAAAGCAAGCUAACGCUUGAAUACAUUAGCAUGGAAUAAUGAAAUAGGACGUUCGAUCCUAUUUUGUUGGUUUCUAGGAUUGACGUA
rnacentral:rRNA from 1 species